CGGGGCGGUGGGGAAGGAGGAGGGUGGAGGAGCAAGUACAGGUGGCUUUGUUGACUGAUCAGUAAACCGAUGUCAUGGGACAAGUGUCUCCCUCAACAGGAAAUGCAGGUCCGGCGUCAUAGCUGAAGUUCAAGAACGCCGACAAUCCGCUAAGACAGGCUAACAGAAUAGCCUCUGGGUUCCAAGGCCGCGAAGGAGGCGGGUGGGAGAGGCCCCACUGCCGGGUCAGAGAAACGCUCCUCACCCCAGUCCAACAGCGGCACAGAAAAGGAAAGUGAAAUUGUCUGCAGGAGACAAAAGGAAAGCCCUGUGGACAGGAGCCCCAGGCCCUGCUACUUUCCCCACCAGCUCAGGGGAGAGACGACGUUGCUGGGAUGAACAGUUGGGAAAGGAGGAACAAGGACGAGGCUGACUUGACGUGCCCCGAGCAUCAUCUCCACAUUCACCGUGUUGUCACAUCUAGAUGAUACAAACGCAUCGCGACCGCAGACUUUCCCCUCGGUCAUCUGGUAAGGCAGGUAAAAUGGGGACUAUGAUCCUUCUUUGCAGGUGAGGAAUUGUAAACCUGCUCCAACCUGCCUCACCCUCAAACGUGUUUCCGGGUAAAUUAGCCACGGAGGAUACAAGACAUCUUUGCAAAUUGAUGACUUGGAAAGAAAGAAGAGAAACUCCAUUUUAAAAAACUAGUGUUCAUGCGGGUCCGGCAGGGACUCAGUCCUGUAGGUGCGUUAUCUCAAGCAAUCCUCCCCAAACCCCCUGAGCUGGGGGCUUCAAUGUGGAGAAGAGGCAGAGGACAGAGAAGAAAGAUGCUCUUGUGGGCAGUCAGAGGCAGAGAGGGGACUACAAGGGACUCUGUCUGAAGCUAAGGUCGCUACACCUACUGUUGGGAGAAGUUGAAAUAUGGGCGACUUCUGAUUUGCUUUUGGAUUCUGAGACCCAGCUACCGCCGUGUCAAGAGGUGGUGUGACAGCAGUCACAGCUGUGGCAUGUGGUGGAGAUAUGCCCUGGGCCAGCAGCUGUUGCUAGUCUCAGAACAAUGGCCUCGUUAUUCUGCUCCGAAGGUUUGCUCGCAGUGGAGACUGACUGCCAGCGAUCACACCUGUUCAUGAUUGACCUGGUCAUGGCUGAGCCCGGCUGGAGGAGCUGGACGGUGACAGGAACCCUAGGUCCCCCUAAUGCCACCUCGGAGGAAGCCCAGCCCGUGGUCUCUGUGGCUUGGGGAACAUGAGCUAACUUGGAAGUCACUGGGAGGUCCAGGUAGGACCAGGCACGGCACUCAGAUGCUCCCUCUGCCCGAGCCUGAGUCCAGAGUGAGGCUUCGUACAAGGAGGGUGGCCGGGAGAGAAGAGGAAGAGAAAGGCAGGAGGGAUUCCAGCGAAAGAGAAGGAAGGGCCCACCGGCCGCCAUGUAUGCCUGCCCUCUUGGACCAUCUGGAAAGAAUGAAGAUUGUGCUGCUUUCAUGCCCCAUGCAGCCAGGCACGCCAGGAACAGUGAGGAGAGAGGAAGGGCGUGCGUUUACGGACGGGCAGUCUUCUUUGAGGGACUUGCUGCCUGCUGAGAUGGGUCUCUUCAACUCUCCCUCCUCCUCUGGGACCCCAGGAGGUGAGUGAUUGUCAAAUCUCAGCCUCCUCUCUCAGAUCUGCGCCAAUCUGCCCUCUCCUCUUUUCUCCCUGCUGCUGUUCAGGCCGCCCCGCUCUCUCUCAUCAGGACCAUUGCUUUGGAUAAACUUGGCUCCUCGGCUCUCAUCACUCCAUCAUCCAGGUUCCAUUCUUGGCUCAGAUCUCGGCAAGUUACUUAAAUUCCAGCUUAUGCCUCAGUUUCCUCUUUGGGUGGUUCUGAGGCUUGAGUGAGGUAGUAUGUGCCAAGGUCUUCGAGCAGAGCCCCGCACACAGCAAGUGCCAAAUGCCUGUCGGCCGUUUUUAGGAUUGCCGUUGUUUUCCCUGACAGACCGGAGCUAGCCAGCUGUUUACAAAUGUAUCUAAUCUUGUCACCUUCUGCUUUUAAAUCCAUAAAGGAGAAUUGUUCUUCAAAUGGUGCUGCAAAAGGACCAGGUUAGAUCUGCCCUGAUAACCUACACCGAAAAUGUCUGUGGAUGUGAGAGAGAGGUCAGAAUCAAAAUGACUCCAAAAAACAUGGAGAGAAAAAUAUUUAAUUGAUCUCAGCUCUGGGAAGGAAUUACUGGCAUCAAAUUAACAGAGGGAACUGUUGACGAAAAUAAUCCAUAACCAAUCUAUAAAUGAAAAUUUGGCUCUGGAGGUCAGAAGUCCAAAACGAGCCGCAAAGGGGCUAAAAUCAAGGUGUUGGCAGGAAGCUCCAGGGGAGAAUCCUCGCCUCCUCCAGCUUCUAGAGGCUCAUGGCUGCCUCCUUCCAGUCUCUGCUUCUGCUGUCACAUUGCCGUCUUCUAACUGUGACCCUCCCGCCUCCCUCUUAGGACAACCCUUGUGAUUCCAUUGGGCCCAUCUGGAGAAUCCAGGAAAUUCCCAUCUCCAGAUCCCUGAUUUCAUCCCAGUUGUGAAGUCCCUGUUGCCAGGUGAGGUAAUGUACUUGCAAGGCCAGGGAUGAGGACAUGGACAUCUUUGGGGGGGGUCAUUAUUCUGUCUACUCCACCCACAAAGUAAGGAGAAAAUGACACGACCGACUCUGGGGGUAACUAAAGGAACGGAGGUGCGUCAAUGGAGCGUGGCGUCUGAUUGUGCCUGUGGGUCUGUGGGAUAGCUCUUAAAAAGUGCAAACUUGGGCCGAAAUAGUUCCAUGCCCACAUCAUUUGAUGAAAGAGAACAUCAACGUCUGAAUGCAGGAACCAAAAUCUUCUAGAACCGAAUCCAGCCCAACUGUGUCCUCCCAGGGUGACGGAAAGAAUACACCUCUCUCUCUGCAUUUUCCACCUGCCGAGGCCGAGGGCCCAGAGUGGAUCAGAACGCACGGAGGCGGGAAUCCAUGGGUUUGGUGCGCCAUCGUCCAGGUCCUUGGCUUCCUGAACAUCCAGCCUGGUUCGGGUAGAGAAUGUGGAGGAUGUUGCCAGUGUGCUUGUCGGUGGUCGCUCCCAGACACCUGGUGUCUUAAGGAGACCUGUGGCGGGGCUGUUCUGAGAUGGAGCAGGACGGGGUUCUCUCUCCAGGAGCCCCGUUAUGGGCCAUGGGGAGCAGUGGUCCCGAGCUUGGUAAGAGAUGCACAUUUCUCGGUGGACAAAGAUGCUGCCGUGGUUCACUUGCCAUUGGGGGCUUUUUUCUAUUAGUAAGGAUGCAUUUGCCCUGAUCCCUUCACACUCUCUAAUUUAGAAGUAAGGGACAACCCCUCCCAACUUGGGCUGGUGCACAUCUCGGGCCAGGAAACGGGACAGUGACGUGACCCUCUGGAAGGAUGCCAAGCUCACGUCAGGUGCCUUGUGAGGCAGCACCCAGGGACGCAGAGGGAAGAAAGAACAGGGGCGUGAGGAGUCCUGUGGGAUGAGCUGCUCCCCAGGAGAAUCCAGAUGGCUCUCCUGCAUUUCAGAUCCCUGGGGUGAGGCAAUCAAUGUCAGCGGUCAGAUCAUUUAACAACUGGACGUCUUGCCCACAUGUCUUCACCUGGCUGGAGUUGAAUACGGCUGUCCCAUUUCCAUGCGGCUUUCCGACACCCCACGGUCCUGCUGGCCCACCCACCCAUGGGCCCUUUCACUGGGACCAUGAACACAUUUCCUUCUUCAAGACAACACGAGAAACUCUUGUUCUCAACUCCGAAAUCCAAAAUAAACAAAUAAGCUUUUCCUGUAACCCAUUUGACGGUAAGAUCUGACCUGAUCUGUGACUCAUUUGGUGGCAGUUUCUGACCUGAAAUGAUUGUAAAAAUGUUAUUUGGGCGCCAGCCCCUUGGCGUAAUGGUUAAGCUUGUGCUCUCCACUUCAGUGAUCCGGGGUUUGCAGGUUUGGAUCCCAGGUGUGGACCUACACAACACUCAUCAAGCCAUGCUGUGACGGUGUCCCACAUACAAAAUAGAGGAAUACUGGCACAGAUGUGAGCUCAGGGCCAAUCUUCCUCAAGCAAAAAGAGGAAGAUUGGCAACAGAUGUUAGCUCAGGGCCAAUCUUCCUCACCAAAUAAAUAAAUAAAUACAUACAUACAUACAUACAUACGUUUUAUUUGUACCAUUUAUUGAUCCCGCUCAAGGUGAAAAUCUACGUAUCUUCUGUUGCAGAAAUAUUAACAGAGCUCUGUGCCAGACCUGCUGGGAAGUGGGGACUGUCCAGGGCGUGGGACAAUUUACCUUCCUGAAAUCCAAAGAUUAGGAAGAGCUCUGCCCCAAGUGUGUGAAGGGGGAUGCUCAAGGAAGCUAGCAAAGGCUCACUAGGUGGAAAGCCCAGCCAACCAGCUCUGCUCCCCUGAUUUCCAUAUGUAAACCCCGUCCAUCGGUCCCCAGGACAGCCAUUAGGUGAGUGACUUCGAGUACCCCCAUUUUACAGAAGAGAAAACUGAGAUACACAGAGUUAAGUAAGUUGCCCAAGGAGCCAAGGUUCGUGCAAAAAUUGGGAGAGGAUCCUUUAUCUCGAGCAAGUUGAGACAGAAAUGAAGGAAGGGUGGGAACUCGCUGGAUUUGCCAGGAGGAAGGUCACGGAUGUUAGAUUCAGCCGGAGUAAGGCAUGAGCCCAGAGGAGCAGUGCACACCUGUGCCCCGGGCAGCUUCGCUCAGCCUCCCUGAGCCCCCGUGCCCUCCGUGUGCAGAGGGUCAUCAUCAACCCCACGUUUCUGAGGACACAGUCCCUGCGCAGCCCCUGAGAGCAGCCGACACACAGCAGCUCUGCUCCCGGCUUCGGCUCUGCAGGGAGACUGGCCAGCCUGGAUCUGACUAGGACGCCUCUCACUGUCACCACUGCAUCACUGGCUCUCGUUACCUUUCCCUCUCAGUCCGCCAAGGCCAUCUGAAGGUGCCUCUUGGAUCUCCUCGGCAAGUUUGCCUCAAAGCAUCAAAAACAGCGAGGAUGAGACUGGAGCCUCGAGGAGGAGCCAGCCCAGCUGAUGCCUUAAUUUUAG
ensembl:lncRNA